CGGAGAAGAUCAAGGAAUGUGAAAACUCACCUAAUGGUGUAAGCUUACCUGAACCUGGAUCUGUGGAACAUGAUAUUCAAGUUGAGGAUCCUAUGGAGGAAAACCAGCAGACUAGUGAACAAGUUCUGCCAAAUGGAAAUGUGACACUGUCAGAGUGUCUCAGUGAACAGGAAACAGUUAUUGUUGAGCAACCUAGUUCAUCUGGUUCAUCACUUAGCUCUCAAGAAACUCAAGACGUCCCUCGUCGAUCUCAAAGGUCACAUCAGAGACCAGAAAGGUUGCAGUAUUCAACAUUAGGUAACCCCUUACUGCAUGUUGUUAAUGCAGUGUUUAAUAGCCUAAAUGAAGCUAUUGCAAACUCUAUGCAACAGCUUAACCAUUCGAAUGCACAGGGACGUGCAUACCAUCAAAGUGGGGAGGGUGUAACCCACAUUUAAAUAGGGCUUUAAUAAAAAAUGCCCUUGACCCUCAUAAACAUUAAAAAUGCUUUUGGUUUAACAGUUAUGUUUUAUUUAUGGUCGAUUUUUGUUAUAAUCAGUAGCUGAAAGGAAAAAAAACACAUGCAUCGCUUUAGCCAAUGGGCUGCUGCCUAGUGGCGCAUUGCCCCGCCCACCACUUCCUUCGCGGGGGGCGGGCUUUCCUCUGUCUUUCCGGCUGCGACUCCGAUGCUGAGCGAGCUGUUAAGGAAAAGGGAGACGGAGAUUCAUUGAAAAAAGAGCACAAAAAGCGAUAUAUAAGAGUCAGAGGUCGGAGGCGGCGCCAUUUUGUGUUGCGCUGUCCUCUCGUGAGAUCGGUCAGGUUUUUUUUUUCUUUUCCUUGGUUUGUUUUAUUUGUGAUGUGAUGGCGAGCCAAUCCCACAGACGAACCAGACAACUUCUUCCCGUGCUGCCCUGCACAGUGCGGUAGGCCAGCUGCGACAAGGAUCUCUGCCACACCAUUCUGCACCUGCUGUCCUCUUUCACACACACACACACACAUACACUGACGUUCCCCUGGACUUUUAGACGCUUUAAGGACUUCUACGGACUCAGUACACUCCCACAGGCAGGAGGCGGACCUGGUGUGGACAGAUUGGAAACACCCCUCCAAAAUAAGGUUCUGUUGCAUACAGCUGGUGAGAUCGAAGCAGUGUGAUAUUUGUUAUUGGAAUGGUUUUGUUUUGAACUAAAGCCUAAGUUGUGAAUUUAGAAGGGUGCACCCGGGAAAAUUUUGAAAGUGACUGUGAUUGUAAAAUAAGAUUACUGGUACCGAAGAGAAACUUUUAUUUAAAAUUUAUUUCAUUUGUUACAAUAUAUUUUCUUUAAAAUACACAAGCCGGCAACUUUUCAAAACCAUAACCUGUGUUCGAGUCUCAUUCUUUUCACACCUCCUUCCUGUGGCCGAACCUUCUGGC